UCCUCGAUGGUAUAGUGGUGGGUAUCUCCGCCUGUCACGCGGAAGGCAUGGGUUCGAUUCCCGGUCGAUGAG
rfam:Trichobilharzia regenti genome assembly, scaffold: TRE_scaffold0001787